CCCUACGGGAGGCAGCAGUGGGGAAUAUUCCACAAUGGGCGAAAGCCUGAUGGAGCAACGCCGCGUGGGUGAAGAAGGUCUUCGGAUCGUAAAACUCUGUUGUUAGAGAAGAAAGUGCGUGAGAGUAACUGUUCACGUUUCGACGGUAUCUAACCAGAAAGCCACGGCUAACUACGUGCCAGCAGCCGCGGUAAUACGUAGGUGGCAAGCGUUAUCCGGAUUUAUUGGGCGUAAAGGGAACGCAGGCGGUCUUUUAAGUCUGAUGUGAAAGCCUUCGGCUUAACCGGAGUAGUGCAUUGGAAACU
rnacentral:rRNA from 1 species